rnacentral:tRNA from 1 species
UAACAAUUGAAAAACACGCCUUGAAGGACUUGAACCCUCGACAUCAGGUUUUGGAAACCUGCGUUCUACCAACUGAACUAAAGGCGU